UGAAUUUUAAAAUUUUAGCUGUUAAGUCUCCUUUACAUAGUUAUUAUACUCCAAAUAGUAGUUUGAAUGUAUAAACCAUGCUGGAAAAGAUGUUUAGAAAAUUUUACUUUGCCAUGUUAUUUUGACCCCCUACCAUGGUAAAUUGAACCCCCUACUAUACAUCUAAAGACCUUUAAUGCUAAAAUAUCUAGCUACUGUAACUCCUUUACAUAUUUAUUAUACUCCAAUAAGAAGUUUGUAUUUAUUUUAGUAGCUUGAAAAGAUGUUUUGAAAAUUUUACUUUUUAGAUUAACUGAGCCAUGGUAAUUUGACCCCCUCCCCCUUUUUUUACCAUGGAGAAUCAAAACUUAAGUCUACCAUUCUAUAUAAAUAUUACAAAUUUCAAAGAAUUAAAGUGUCCAAGCUACAUGGUCUAGUUAUAAUGCUUUCAGAAGUUUUUUUAUGAAAUUUUGUUGGUUAAGACUUCAGAGCACUUAUACCAAGCAAAUAUUUUUCUUUUAACCAAUCAUUGAAAAUUGACCUCCUCUUCUUGUAUUAAUGAUUUUUAAUAUUUGAUUAGCUUUUAUAUAAUGUUAAAUGUUUUAUUAAUCAUCUAGAAUGAAAAAAACAGGGGG
rnacentral:lncRNA from 1 species